rnacentral:rRNA from 1 species
CAACUUUCAGCAACGGAUCUCUUGGCUCUCGCAUCGAUGAAGAACGCAGCGAAAUGCGAUAAGUAAUGUGAAUUGCAGAAUUCAGUGAAUCAUCGAAUCUUUGAACGCAUCUUGCACUCYUUGGUAUUCCGAGGAGUAUGCCUGUUUGAGUGUCAUUA